AUGGAGAAGAUCACGACCUCCAUGGACGAGUUUCGUCUGGAACUGCGCAGCAACACAGCGGCGGUGCACGCGCACACCGCCAAACUGGACGAUCUGGCCUCCUGGCGGCCGGAUCUGGAGCAACGCGUCAACCAACUCUCCGACGCGGUCGCUGAGCUGCAGAAAGGGCGUCUUCCUGCGGCGGCGGCGCCCGGUGUGGCGGCCACAGAGACUUCCGCGCCCAUAUCCAACCUGGGAGUGCCCGGCGUCCUCCCUGGCGCGGGAACCCGGCCAGUCAACAACCACAUGGGUCAAGCGACCACGACAACGCAUUCCUACACUGGGAGAAGGCGCUGGCGACGCCGCCGGCGCCGCUCCUGGGCACUGGAUCGGGACACGAGGGCCAUUCUGCUUAGUGGGCGUCUCUACCAGGGCCUUUACCGUCUGGAGCAUCCUGGAGUCUCUCGGGUUUUCAGUGGAGUUCGCGUCUCGUCGUCACAGUGGCAUGCUCGUCUUGGUCAUCCUGCCACACCUAUCGUUCGUCAUGUUUUGCGUCGUCAUGAGCUUCCUAGUGUCUCUAGCAAUAAUGAUGUAGCAGUGUGUGAUGCUUGUCAGUAG
rnacentral:rRNA from 1 species